UUGUAUACAUACAUACAUACAUAGAGAUACGAUUUCCAAAUAAUCCAAUAAGCCGCCUAAUCUCUCCCGCAGUCCAACAUCAAAUUGAUUCUAUUCAAUUCAUAUCGCUGUUUUUAUACUCUUCAUUUGAAGAAGCAACUUCUUCUUGUUAAUAAUAAUGGCGUUACUAGAUACGUCAGAUAUCGGAGACUCCACCGCCAUACGCGGCGAGAUAAGACGGCGGAGGAGCGUGAAGCCUGAUGCCGGAUUCGGAAUCGGAGACGGUUUGUAUGAUUCUUCAUCGUCUUCUCGAACGAACUCGUCUGAAGAAGAAGGUGAGAGUUUGACUAACGGUUUCGAUGAAAAUGAACGGAUCCGAGCUGGUGAUGAAACUCAAACAACACAGGAAAAUAAACAGAAGACAGAUCAGAGAAGAGAUAAAACGAGUCUGUUGCAAUAUGCGUAUCGUGCUUCUUCUCCAGCGCAUCGUAGAAUUAAAGAGUCUCCGCUUAGCUCCGAUGCUAUCUUCAAGCAGAGUCAUGCAGGCCUUUUUAACCUUUGCAUAGUGGUGCUUGUUGCUGUAAAUGGUAGGCUCAUUAUUGAGAAUCUGAUGAAGUACGGAUUAUUGAUCAAUUCCAAUUUUUGGUUCAGUUCAAGAUCAUUAAGAGAUUGGCCCCUUCUGAUGUGCUGCGUCUCUCUUCUGUUCUUCCCUCUUGCUGCUUACAUUGUUGAGAAAUUGGCAUGGAAAAAACGUAUAUCAGACCCUGUUGUAAUCACUCUCCAUGUUAUAGUAACUACAACUGCGAUUUUAUAUCCGGUUUUCAUGAUUCUGAGGGUUGAUUCAGUUGUUCUAUCAGGUGUUUCAUUGAUGCUGUGUGCUUGCAUCAAUUGGUUAAAAUUGACAUCUUUUGUGCAUACUAGUUAUGACAUGCGGUCCCUUGUGAAUUCAACCGAUAAGGGAGAGACAGAGUCCGAGUCUUUAGAUAUAGAGUUAUUUUAUGAUGCUGACUUCAAAAGCUUGGUUUAUUUCUUGCUUGCUCCUACUUUGUGUUACCAGUUACGCUAUCCCCGCACUGCAUUUAUUCGAAAGGGUUGGGUGUUACGGCAACUGAUCAAGCUAAUAAUAUUUACAGGGUUAAUGGGAUUCAUCAUUGAACAAUAUAUCAAUCCGAUUGUACAAAACUCUCAGCAUCCAUUGAACGGCGACAUUUUAUACGCAAUUGAACGUGUUUUAAAGCUUUCAGUUCCAAAUUUAUACGUUUGGCUCUGUAUGUUCUACUGUUUUUUUCACCUUUGGUUGAAUAUACUUGCUGAGCUUCUUCGUUUUGGGGAUCGUGAGUUUUAUAAAGAUUGGUGGAAUGCACAAACUAUUGAAGAGCUAUCUUUGCUUGAUUUCUCCAUGGUUGAUGCUCUAGUAUUGGAGACUAUGGAAUAUGCCUGUUCAUAAAUGGAUUGUACGGCAUCUCUACUUCCCAUGCUUGCGUAAUGGGAUACCUAAGGGUGCUGCCAUCUUGGUUGCGUUUUUCAUGUCUGCUGUGUUCCAUGAGCUUUGUAUUGCUGUUCCCUGCCACAUUUUCAAAUUUUGGGCUUUUAUUGGGAUCAUGUUUCAGGUGCCCUUGGUCUUACUCACGAAUUACUUGCAGAACAAGUUCCAAAACUCAAUGGUUGGAAAUAUAAUCUUCUGGUGCUUCUUUAGCAUCCUUGGUCAACCCAUGUGUGUAUUACUCUACUAUCAUGAUGUCAUGAAUCAAAAGGUGAAUAGCAAAUAAACUCUGAAAGAAAAUAAUAAAAUAUAGUUUUAAAGGCAAUUUUGCAAGUAGUAAUAUAAUACCUUAGUAACUGUUUUCCUUAUGUUAUAUAGGUUUACAUGUUAAACUGAAAUAAAAUGAUAUUGAUUGAUGAUGAAUUUUGAACU